rnacentral:rRNA from 1 species
GGCGAACGGGUGCGUAACACGUGGGCAACCUGCCCCUCACUCUGGGAUAACUCCGGGAAACCGGGGCUAAUACCGGAUACUCCGGCCGAACCGCAUGGUUCAGCCGGGAAAGGUCCGCCGGUGAGGGAUGGGCCCGCGGCCUAUCAGCUUGUUGGUGGGGUAACGGCCUACCAAGGCGACGACGGGUAGCUGGUCUGAGAGGACGACCAGCCACACUGGGACUGAGAUACGGCCCAGACUCCUACGGGAGGCAGCAGUGGGGAAUCUUGCGCAAUGGGCGAAAGCCUGACGCAGCGACACCGCGUGAGGGACGAAGGCCCUCGGGUUGUAAACCUCUUUCGGCAGGGACGAAGCGAUCGUGACGGUACCUGCAGAAGAAGCUCCGGCUAACUACGUGCCAGCAGCCGCGGUAAGACGUAGGGAGCGAGCGUUGUCCGGAUUCAUUGGGCGUAAAGAGCGCGCAGGCGGUUCGGUAAGUC